AUUGAACGCUGGCGGCAUGCUUUACACAUGCAAGUCGGACGGCAGCACAGAGACGCUUGCUUCUUGGGUGGCGAGUGGCGCACGGGUGAGUAAUAUAUCUGAACGUACCGAGUGAUGGGGGAUAACUAAUCGAAAGAUUAGCUAAUACCGCAUAUUCUCUGAGGAGGAAAGCAGGGGACCUUCGGGCCUUGCGUUAUUCGAGCGGCCGAUAUCUGAUUAGCUAGUUGGUGGGGUAAAGGCCUACCAAGGCGACGAUCAGUAGCGGGUCUGAGAGGAUGAUCCGCCACACUGGGACUGAGACACGGCCCAGACUCCUACGGGAGGCAGCAGUGGGGAAUUUUGGACAAUGGGCGCAAGCCUGAUCCAGCCAUGCCGCGUGUCUGAAGAAGGCCUUCGGGUUGUAAAGGACUUUUGUCAGGGAAGAAAAGGCUGUUGCUAAUACCGACAGCUGAUGACGGUACCUGAAGAAUAAGCACCGGCUAACUACGUG
rnacentral:rRNA from 1 species